GAUGAACGCUGGCGGCGUGCCUAAUACAUGCAAGUCGAGCGAACGGACGAGAAGCUUGCUUUUCUGAUGUUAGCGGCGGACGGGUGAGUAACACGUGGAUAACCUACCUAUCAGACUGGGAUAACUUCGGGAAACCGGAGCUAAUACCGGAUAAUAUUUUGAACCGCAUGGUUCAAAAGUGAAAGACGGUCUUGCUGUCACUUAUAGAUGGAUCCGCGCUGCAUUAGCUAGUUGGUAAGGUAACGGCUUACCAAGGCAACGAUGCAUAGCCGACCUGAGAGGGUGAUCGGCCACACUGGAACUGGGACACGGUCCAGACUCCUACGGGAGGCAGCAGUAGGGAAUCUUCCGCAAUGGGCGAAAGCCUGACGGAGCAACGCCGCGUGAGUGAUGAAGGUCUUCGGAUCGUAAAACUCUGUUAUUAGGGAAGAACAUAUGUGUAAGUAACUGUGCACAUCUUGACGGUACCUAAUCAGAAAGCCACGGCUAACUACGUG
rnacentral:rRNA from 1 species